GUAGCUUUUGAGGGGAAGUAGGAUGUUAACACCCACUGAUACAGCUGCUAUAAAAGUAUGCAUUUUGGAUGUUACUUCCAACAGAGUGAGAAAGAAAUCAUGCGAUUCAUGUGUGCCCUGGUCCAGGUGUAUGUCUUCACGGGAGCUCAUCACUGCUCUAAUGAGAAUGAUCACCGCUCAUCUGUCUUCAUCCACAUCCAACAGAGAGCACCUGCUACUAUUUUUGUCACAAUCCAAUUGAUCAUCAGUGGGCUGUGCUGGAAAACCAAGUCCGAUCCAUGGAGGCCUCACCUUGAAACUUGCAGGAUUUACA